rnacentral:rRNA from 1 species
AUGAACGCUGGCGGCGUGCCUCAUACCUGCCAGUCGCGCGAACAGAUAAGGAGCUUGCUCCUUUGACGUUAGCGGCGGACGGGUGAGUAACACGUGGGUAACCUACCUAUAAGACUGGGAUAACUUCGGGAAACCGGAGCUAAUACCGGAUAAUAUUUCGAACCGCAUGGUUCGAUAGUGAAAGAUGGUUUUGCUAUCACUUAUAGAUGGACCCGCGCCGUAUUAGCUAGUUGGUAAGGUAACGGCUUACCAAGGCGACGAUACGUAGCCGACCUGAGAGGGUGAUCGGCCACACUGGAACUGAGACACGGUCCAGACUCCUACGGGAGGCAGCAGUAGGGAAUCUUCCGCAAUGGGCGAAAGCCUGACGGAGCAACGCCGCGUGAGUGAUGAAGGUCUUCGGAUCGUAAAACUCUGUUAUUAGGGAAGAACAUACGUGUAAGUAACUGUGCACGUCUUGACGGUACCUAAUCAGAAAGCCACGGCUAACUACGUG